rnacentral:snRNA from 1 species
GUGCUUGCUUCGGCAGCACAUAUGCUAAAAGCAAACAACACAGAAAAGAUUAGCAUGGACCUGUGCAAGGGUGACGUGUAAAUUCAUAAAGCAUUCCAUAUUUAA